rnacentral:piRNA from 1 species
GACUGGAAUUCUGGAGACUGCAA